UACGAAGGGGGCUAGCGUUGUUCGGAAUUACUGGGCGUAAAGCGUGCGCAGGCGGCUGCUCAAGUCAGGGGUGAAAGCCCAGAGCUCAACUCUGGAAUUGCCUUUGAGACUGAGUGGCUUGAGUACGGGAGAGGUGAGUGGAAUUCCCAGUGUAGAGGUGAAAUUCGUAGAUAUUCGGCGGAACACCAGUGGCGAAGGCGACUCACUGGCCCGAUACUGACGCUGAGGCGCGAAAGCGUGGGGAGCAAACAGG
rnacentral:rRNA from 1 species